CAGUAGCCGCGGUAAUGCGAAGGGUGCAAGCGUUAAUCGGAAUUACUGGGCGUAAAGCGUGCGUAGGCGGUGAGUUAAGUCUGCUGUGAAAUCCCCGGGCUCAACCUGGGAAUGGCAGUGGAUACUGGCUCGCUAGAGUGUGUCAGAGGAUGGUGGAAUUCCCGGUGUAGCGGUGAAAUGCGUAGAGAUCGGAAGGAACAUCUGUGGCGAAGGCGACUAUCUGGGCCAACACUGACACUGAGGCACGAAAGCGUGGGGAGCAAACAGGAUUAGAUACCCGUGUAGUCCCUGUCUCUUAUAC
rnacentral:rRNA from 1 species